CUUCUACAAAGGCCACAGCAGAAAAACAGCCUGAUGCCGAAUAUUUCUGUGCCACGAAGUAAUCAAGAGGCGAGUGCCUAUAAUGCGGACGAAAUCGAGUGCAUCGAGACUUAGAACGACAGAAAGCUGAGCUAGUUGACAAUGCCUACGCCUAGCCACAGCAGCUCCCUCAUACAGACUCCGCAAGCCAAGAGGCCGUGGAGCCAAAUGCAGCUAAGAGGCAAUAAGCAAUAGCACUGGUAUUGACAUUCAUCUAAUUUCUUUUUAUUUCGUUUAGGCAGCCAGCACACCUCGAACAGCCACCUUGACUGCGGGUGUGUCACCCUAGUCGCCAAGGAAACAUUUGAGGGAAAGUGACAGGCAAUGUGAACAGCCACUUCUCCAUGUAAACAAUACUCUUUCUCUCGGAUGACUCCUACGCCUCGCCACGCCAGCACACUUGUGCACAAAGAUGCCGCAGAGGCACGUGCAGGUCAGAGGCAAGAAGCAGUGGCACUGGUGUCGACUUUUACCCAAUUUCUUUUUCUUACACUGAGGCAGCCAGCACACCUCGAACAGCCACCUUGACUGCGGGUGUGUCAGUAGAUUCCUGUUGUACACAUGCUCAUAAUAAACUUCAGUAAACUUGAACUUCAUAAUAAACUUGAAGGCAAAUGGGA